CAACUUUCAGCAACGGAUCUCUUGGCUCUCGCAUCGAUGAAGAACGCAGCGAAAUGCGAUAAGUAAUGUGAAUUGCAGAAUUCAGUGAAUCAUCGAAUCUUUGAACGCACCUUGCGCCCUUUGGCUAUUCUGAAGGGCAUGCCUGUUUGAGUAUC
rnacentral:rRNA from 2 species